ACAUGAUUUCGGGGGAUAGAACUCGUGCCAUUAGGUAUAUGUGGAAAACACCUUUACCUACUAAACCAUCUCGCUGUCCCCAAUUAAAUUGUAAUUAUGGCUUCUCUAGAAUAUAUUUAGUUUAGUAUUAGUAAUCAUCCAGGAGCUCACUAUAGCCUUUAAGCUAGUUAGGAUUUUUAAUUUGCUGGUGGAAAUACUUAAGUGGGUGGGUGGUAUAGCAUGAAAUCCUCCCUUGGCAUAUGGCCUGUACCUUGCUGAUAAGAAAACUGAGGACCGCUGGGUGGCGCCGGGAUACCUAAAGGUGCUUGUCUGUAGAAAGGAACGUUGUGACAGUCCAAGGCUCGGAGAUACGCUUCCAAUAUGCCUGGAAGGCCCCUGUGAAGAAACUGCGCGCAGGGAUCAAGAGCCUGCGGGGGUUGGGACUGUUGCUCGCGGCCACAGAGAUGCGGCAAGCGACUGGGUGGACGCCACGUGGGGCCACUAGGAGGUGGUUCCGGGAUCGCUCAUCCUGGAUCAUUGCCUUUCUCCAUCUGCACGCACGCAGGCCAAGCUGGACCACUCGGAGGUGCUGGAGCUGAUGGCGCGCACGAAUUGAGUUCUAGGCCUUAGGCAAGACCAAAGAGGAAAAGGAAAUCAACUUCUUCCUAGUUGAUAAAGACUGGAGGAAAAGCAACUGUUAAAACUGUGUUCAUAUGACCACACAUAGGAACUGUCAAGGAAGAUACCAAAGGACGAACUCUUCUUAAGGUAAAAGACAACAUAAAGAGACUACAAAGGUGUGUCACAUCCCCUGGAACUGGAGUUACAGAUGUUUGUGAGCCACCAUAUGGGUGAAGGAGUCGAACUCAGGUCCUCUAGAAGAGCAGCCAGUGCUCUGAACUGCUGCACCAUCUCCUGAGCCUCUAGUUUAAAUCCUUUGAGGAGCCUCCAAAUUGAUUUCAUAAUGGCUAUAUUAAUUUGUGCUCCCACCAGUGAGAAUAAGUGUUCCUGUUUCCCUACAUCUCCUCCAUUUAUUGUUAGUUUUCUUAAUGAUAGCCUUUCUGACUGGGAUGAGGUGGUAAAUAUCCUCCCAUAGAGCUAUUUUCACCUCCACGUUUAUUGCUAUUCUACAUAGUAUAGCAAAGAUGUCUAUUAACAAAUGAGUGGAUAAUGAAAAUGUGGUACAUUUAUGGAGUGGACAUUCUUUAAAUUUUCAGGAGGAUGGCUGAACUUGGAAAGUUCAUUAAGUGAGAUACCCAAAAUUCAGAGAGAAAAGUUACAUCAUGCUCUCCUUCAUAUGUGGAUCCUAGCCUAUAAUCAAUCAAAAUAUCUCUCUCUCUCUCUCUCUCUCUCUCUCUCUCUCUCUCUCUCUCUCUCUCUCUCUCCCUCCCUCCCUCCCUCCCUCCCUCCUUAUCUCCCUAUCUCUCUGUAUAUGUGUGUAUAUGUGUGUGUUUGUGUGUGUGUGUGUGUGUGUGUGUGUGUGUGUGAGUGUGCAUGUGCAUAUGCUGUCAGUGUAUGCAUAGCAUCACCUUUAGAAAGGAAACCAAGAAAGGGUAAUGAUCAAUAAUAUGGAAUGAUGGAAUACAGGCAAAAGAACACAUGAGUGACGAAUGAGGCUAUAAUGCUAUUUUCUUUUCUAGUUUCAUCCCUGUUGUAGUUCUGUUUUUUUCCCCCAUUUUGUGGAGAAUAGGUAUACAAAAAUGUAAUGGAAUGUUAAUAGUUAAAACUCCAAGGGAAGUUCCAUGGCUUUAGAAUGGCUCUUAGAACUGUACAAAAGUUCAUUGAGAUGUACAGAGUUUAGACUGAGCAAAUGUUUGAGUGGCUACCUUAGUUGAGCUGUGUGAUAUCUUUAUUUGUGAGUUCAUUACAACACAGUGUUUUUGUUUAGUAAUAAAAUAAUUUUAAGAUUUCAU
rnacentral:lncRNA from 1 species